GGGAAGCCCUUUAACAAUAAAGAACUUCAUAACACACUCCACAGAACCUGGGGUCAUGGUGAUGAGAGACACAAAUCUUGUAGCCUCUCUAUGAACAAAUUCCCUACAUAA
ensembl:snoRNA